rnacentral:rRNA from 1 species
UACGUAGGGUGCAAGCGUUGUCCGGAAUUAUUGGGCGUAAAGAGCUCGUAGGCGGUUUGUUGCGUCGGCUGUGAAAUCCCGAGGCUCAACCUCGGGUCUGCAGUCGAUACGAGCAAACUAGAGUGUUGCAGGGGCGACUGGAAUUCCUGGUGUAGCGGUGAAAUGCGCAGAUAUCAGGAGGAACACCGGUGGCGAAGGCGGGUCUCUGGGCAGCAACUGACGCUGAGAAGCGAAAGCGUGGGGAGCGAACAGG